AUGACCGUUAUCGGGGAUGCAGAUGGUGAAGUUGAUCAAUAUUGCUCCGAGUAUUUCUCUGUUGCCAAAUUUAUGGCUGCUUAUGCUGACAAUGUGCCUGCACUCUUGGGGAAAGAUCAAUGGAACAUAGUAGAUCUAGGGUUCAAACUCCAUGGUCCUAUCAUUACUAGACCACCAGGAAGACCAAGGAACCAGAGGGUUAGAGCAGGUGAGGAGGGUCGUCUACCAAAGAAGCAUGCUUGCAAAAAAUGUGGAGUUCUGGGGCAUAUUGCUAGGCUUUGUACCAAUGCAGUGGGUGCAUCAUUUGGAGAGGAGGAAAGAUGGACAACAGCCAAUGUAGAGGAGAAUGCAGCAGCAAUGGAGACUGAAGAUGUAGAGGACAAUGCAGCAGCAAUGGAGACUGAAGAUGUAGUGGAGAAUGCAGCAGCAAAUAAAGCAGUGGAGAAUGCAGCAGCAAAUGAAGCAUCUUGCUCUAGGUAG
rnacentral:rRNA from 1 species